rnacentral:tRNA from 1 species
CCGGGUGUAGCGCAGAAUGGUAGCGCACUUGAAUGGGGUUCAAGGGGCCGCAGGUUCAAUUCCUGUCACUCGGACCA